AGGACGAACGCUGGCGGCGUGCUUAACACAUGCAAGUCGAACGGUAAGGCCCCUUCGGGGGUACACGAGUGGCGAACGGGUGAGUAACACGUGAGCAACCUGCCCUUGACUCUGGAAUAACAGCUGGAAACAGCUGCUAAUACCGGAUACGACCUCUGGCGACAUCGCCCGGAGGUGGAAAGCUCCGACGGUCAAGGAUGGGCUCGCGGCCUAUCAGCUAGUUGGUGAGGUAACGGCUCACCAAGGCUUCGACGGGUA
rnacentral:rRNA from 1 species